AUGUUUUGUUUAACUACUGUAAACCACCCAAAUAGUUUAGGUUUGUGGUUAAAAAAGCCUGGUUCUAAGCUCUCAAGCUUCAGCUCUAAAAAUGCCCCAAAGAACCAGGUUCAGCAUGGUCUGAUUCCUAGGGGAUCUGGGUAUUUGGUUUCUAGGGAAUUAAAAAAAGCCCUCACGUGCUACUCACUUGUUCUUCUUGUGAAAGAUGCGAGAACACCAGCUAGAAAGAGUUGUCCCUUACUGUCUGGUAUUUUUAAUAAAAUGAGAAAUUUCUUCUCUGUAUGUUGUCUCGUGAAAUUACUUGUGAAAUUAACGUCAACUAGGAAACUAACUGCGGAGUUGCCUGCUCCAGAUGCAGCAAGCUUUUUGACAGCUGAUAAAGCACCUCUUCUGCCCCUGAUGUGCGCUGUGGCCACGCAGACCCCCGAGUUCCCCCUGCCCACCGCUGGGGCACAGUGGCCACCUUCUGCAGUUCCACUGGUGGAAACAGCCCUCGGGCUGCCUCCCACUCCUGCCAGGCAUGGUACAUCUCUGCCUACUUGCGAAACAAAUUCUUUCAGUAAAAUCUCAAGCUGUCAGACUAAAUCAUCUCUAAGUCAUACAAGCUUCUGUGCUAGAAAAGUUCUGCUGGAAACUCCUGUGGGAAGUCUGCCGAAGUUAGGACCUGCUCCUCUUCCUGUUCUUUCUCCUUCCAAGCAGAGAUCAAAAAUUAAGAGCAUGGCUGCGGCUGCCGUGUCUGCUGCCAUUGCUGUCCGGGCCAGACUCUACGAACCUAGCGUCUACCGCUCUCUCUUGGAUGCCCUGCUCAUCACGCCUGUCACUAAGCCUCCUCUGCAGGCCAUCGAGCCCUCCAGGAAGUCCACAAGCGCUCUGGAGUUGCAGAAGAGCAAGAGUGAUUCCCUGGAGGCUACCCAUCCCGCUGGUUUUACAGCCGCCUCAGCGAGGAGCAUGCCCGCCUGCCAAGAAAACGCCGAGGUGAGACCUGCUCCCACCAGCGCCACAUCUGCUGCGGCCCUCAAGCCAACGGGACCCCCAGGUGCUACCAAGUACUCCGGCUGGCAGCCUGCAAACCAAGCAGGUAACUCGCAGUGAGGCUUUUUCUUGGUUGCUUAAAGACCUUUGGAUAGCUCAGGGAAAAUAGACUUCACCGUGGGUGUUAAAACAGCAGCCUUCAUAUGGGCU
rnacentral:lncRNA from 1 species